GGAGUUGGCUGGACGAUCGCUUCGAACAACGCAUUCGUCGGAGAGGAAAGUCCGGACUCCACGGUGGUCUUAAGUGACGACAAGGGCUGUGUGCUGGCUAACCGCCAGCGGGGGCGACCUCAGGGACAGUGCCACAGAAAAAGAUACCGCCGCGGCGACCGCGAGGUUGUCGAGGUAAGGGUGAAAAGGUGCGGUAAGAGCGCACCGCCGCGGUGGCGACAUUCGCGGGACAGGGAAAACCCCACACGGAGCAAGACCAAAUAGGGGGGCGAUAAGAGGCGAUGGCCCAUCGCUCAGGCCCCCGGGUUGGUUGCAUGAGGCCGCGAGCAAUCGCGGUCCUUAGAGGGAUGAUCGUCCA
rnacentral:RNase_P_RNA from 1 species